rnacentral:rRNA from 1 species
UACAGAGGUCUCAAGCGUUGUUCGGAUUCAUUGGGCGUAAAGGGCGCGUAGGCGGACAUUUAAGUCGGGGGUGAAAGCCCAGGGCUCAACCCUGGAAUUGCCUUCGAUACUGGAUGUCUUGAGUUCGGGAGAGGUGAGUGGAAUGCCGAGUGUAGAGGUGAAAUUCGUAGAUAUUCGGCGGAACACCAGUGGCGAAGGCGACUCACUGGCCCGAUACUGACGCUGAGGCGCGAAAGCGUGGGGAGCAAACAGG